rnacentral:misc_RNA from 1 species
GAUGAAGAACGCAGCGAAAUGCGAUAAGUAAUGCGAAUUGCAGAAUUCAGUGAGUCAUCGAAUCUUUGAACGCACAUUGCGCCCCUUGGCAUUCCGAGGGGCACACCUGUUCGAGCGUCAUUUGUACCUUCAAGCUCUGCUUGGUGUUGGGUGUUUGUCUCGCCUCUGCGUGUAGACUCGCCUCAAAACAAUUGGCAGCCGGCGUAUUGAUUUCGGAGCGCAGUACAUCUCGCGCUUUGCACUCAUAACGACGACGUCCAAAAGUACAUUUUUACACUCUUGACCUCGGAUCAGGUAGGGAUACCCGCUGAACUUAAGCAUAUCAAUAAGCGGAGGA